rnacentral:rRNA from 1 species
CAGUCGCCGCGGUAAUACGUAGGUGGCAAGCGUUAUCCGGAUUUACUGGGUGUAAAGGGAGCGCAGGCGGUGCGGCAAGUCUGAUGUGAAAGCCCGGGGCUCAACCCCGGGACUGCAUUGGAAACUGUCGUACUUGAGUAUCGGAGAGGUAAGUGGAAUUCCUAGUGUAGCGGUGAAAUACGUAGAUAUUAGGAGGAACACCAGUGGCGAAGGCGGCUUACUGGACGAUAACUGACGCUGAGGCUCGAAAGCGUGGGGAGCAAACAGGAUUAGAUACCCCCUAGUCCCUGUCUCUUAUACC